rnacentral:tRNA from 1 species
UGGGGUUUGGUGUAACUGGUAAGCAUACCUGACUUUGAAUCAGGCGGUCUGGGUUCAAAUCCCGGGACCCCGG